rnacentral:rRNA from 1 species
AAGACCUUGCACUUUUGGAGCGGCCGAUGCCUGAUUAGCUAGUUGGUGGGGUAAAGGCCUACCAAGGCUUCGAUCAGUAGUCGGUCUGAGAGGACGACCAGCCACACUGGGACUGAGACACGGCCCAGACUCCUACGGGAGGCAGCAGUGGGGAAUUUUGGACAAUGGGCGCAAGCCUGAUCCAGCAAUGCCGCGUGCAGGAAGAAGGCCUUCGGGUUGUAAACUGCUUUUGUACGGAACGAAACGGUCUGAGUUAAUACCGGGCUAAUGACGGUACCGUAAGAAUAAGCACCGGCUAACUACGUGCCAGCAGCCGCGGUAAUACGUAGGGUGCGAGCGUUAAUCGGAAUUACUGGGCGUAAAGGGUGCGCAGGCGGUUUUGUAAGUCAGAUGUGAAAUCCCCGGGCUUAACCUGGGAACU